rnacentral:rRNA from 1 species
GUAGGGAAUAUUGGGCAAUGGUCGGAAGACUGACCCAGCCAUGCCGCGUGCAGGAAGACGGCCCUCUGGGUUGUAAACUGCUUUUAUCUGGGAAGAAAAAGGCCAUGCGUGGCAAAUUGCCGGUACCAGAUGAAUAAGCACCGGCUAACUCCGUGCCAGCAGCCGCGGUAAUACGGAGGGUGCGAGCGUGGUCCGGAUGUAUUGGGUUUAAAGGGUGCGUAGGCGGCUGAUUAAGUCAGCGGUGAAAUACUUCGGCUUAACCGGAGCAGUGCCGUUGAUACUGGUUGGCUUGAGUGUCGGAGGGGUACAUGGAAUUGAUGGUGUAGCGGUGAAAUGCAUAGAUACCAUCAGGAACACCGAUAGCGAAGGCAUUGUACUGGCCGACAACUGACGCUGAUGCACGAAAGUGUGGGGAUCGAACAGGAUUAGAUACCCCGGUAGUCC